rnacentral:rRNA from 1 species
CAGCCGCCGCGGGAAUACGAAGGGGGCUAGCGUUGUUCGGAUUUACUGGGCGUAAAGGGCGCGUAGGCGGACUGAUAAGUCAGGGGUGAAAUCCCAAGGCUCAACCUUGGAACUGCCUUUGAUACUGUUUGUCUUGAGUUCGAGAGAGGUAAGUAGAACUGCGAGUGUAGAGGUGAAAUUCGUAGAUAUUCGCAAGAACACCAGUGGCGAAGGCGGCUUACUGGCUCGAAACUGACGCUGAGGCGCGAAAGCGUGGGGAGCAAACAGGAUUAGAUACCCCCGUAGUCCCUGUCUCUUAUAC